UUGGGAGCUCACUGGCUUCAGGUUCCAUUGGAACUCCGAAGUUAAGCCAGUAGCGCACAAGAACACUCCCAUGAUGGGUGACCCACUGGGAAGUUCUCAUGUGAGUUCCCAAAAACAAAACCGUGAGGGCGUGGUCGGCCCAAAGCGGACAAUAUCGUGCUACGGUGGUGGAGCGGGUCCCGGGAUGUGGUGGACCCCGGGUCGGGAUGUGACAAUUUGGUAUCAGAGCCAAUCUCUGGCCGGAAGUGUGCCGACGAGGACGUCGGGCCCCUAAGGUGGGUGGAUUGUGACAUUCCACAUCGCCCAGGGGAGUGAUCCGUAAAUGUAUAUUCCCAUCCUUACCUAGCACGAGAUCUUUUGGGAGCUCACUGGCUUCGGGUUCCAUUGGAACUCCAAAGUUAAGCGAGUAGCGCACAAGAGCACUCCCAUGAUGGGUGACCCACUGGGAAGUUCUCGUGUGAGUUCCC
rnacentral:sRNA from 1 species